rnacentral:rRNA from 1 species
GGCUCAUUAUAUAAGUUAUCGUUUAUUUGAUAGUGCCUUACUACUUGGAUAACCGUGGUAAUUCUAGAGCUAAUACAUGCUACAAGCCCUGACUUCGGAAGGGGCGUAUUUAUUAGAUUAAAAACCAAUGCCCUCUGGGCUCCUUGGUGAAUCAUGAUAACUUCACGAAUCGCACGGCCUUGCGCCGGCGAUGGCUCAUUCAAAUUUCUUCCCUAUCAACUUUCG